rnacentral:lncRNA from 1 species
CUUCUUUAACUCUGCCUUUUUUAUUUUUUCCCUUUGGUUAGGUGUGUCAAGACCUGGUAUGAGAGGUCCCCCAGGAUUUCCUGGGCCAAAAGGAGCAAAAGGAGAGAGAGGACAAACUGGCUUGUGUAUUGUAGGCCCUCCAGGACUGCCUGGUAUUACUGGCAGGCCUGGUUCUGUUGGAUUGCCAGGUCCUCCAGGAGAGCCAGGUAGAGUAACAUUUGGAACUGGCCUGCCAGGACUCCCAGGAGAGCCAGGGUGUACAGGACCUCCAGGACCUCCAGGAGAUACUGGCAUGAGAGGUGAUGAUGCUCGUGUGUGUACUGAUUGUAGCUACAUUCCGGGAAUGCCUGGUCUGCCUGGUUCUGCUGGGCCCCCUGGUCAGGAUGGAAUGCCUGGUAAAUUGUCUUGU